CGAGCAGUCGAGCUAGGGCUGCGGCGGCUGGGCGGAGCGGCGCGGCGCUCGCGCGGCGGCCCCGCCUACUCGGUAGCAGCGGCGACGCGCGGUGGACCCGCGCACUCCGGCGCGGCGACUCAGAAGAAGCCGACGAAACCGCUCUUCGAGAAGAGGCCGAAGCAGUUCGGCGUCGGCGGAAGCGCUGCCACCUAAGAAGCGGCAGCAGCGGCGACGCGCGGUGGACCCGCGCACUCCGGAGCGGCGACCAAGACGAAGGCGACGAAACCGCUCUUCGACAAGAGGCAGAAGGAGUUCGGCAGCGGCGACUCAAGACGAAGGUGACGAAACCGCUGUUCGAGAAGAGGCUGCAGCGUGCUGCCGUAUAAGGAGGACCUGCAACGGUUCGUGAAGCUGCCCGAGGUUGUGGGAGGCCAAG